UCCGAGGCUCAGGAUUUUGCCAGCUUGGAAGAGCACUGGAUUCCAAGCUUGGAAGAGCACUUGGAAGAGCACUGGAUUCCAAGCCAGCUUGGAAGAGCACA
rnacentral:lncRNA from 1 species